GGUCCACCGGGCCCACCUGGACCUCCAGGGCCACCAGGACGAGUAAUUGGUCUCAAUGGAACAGUUUUCCCAGUUCCUCCUAGACCACACUGCAAAAUACCAGUCAACAACAACAAUUCACAACAAGGCAAUGGAAGAGCGUCAUUAGGAGUCAAAGGGGACAAGGGUGAUGUGGGAAAUCCUGGGUUGCCUGGAACUGCAGUGCCUUUGUUUCCUCAUAGUUAUGAGGGCGCUAAAGGUGAUAUUGGCUACAAGGGGCAAAAGGGAGAAAAGGGG